GUUUCUGUAGUGUAGUGGUCAUCAUGUUUGCCUAGCAUGCGAAAGAUCCUUGGUUCGAAACUGAGCAGAAACA
rfam:Danio rerio chromosome 4, GRCz11 reference primary assembly.